rnacentral:rRNA from 1 species
GAUGAACGCUGGCGGCGCGCCUAACACAUGCAAGUCGAACGAUUAAAGCACCUUCGGGUGUGUAUAAAGUGGCGAACGGCUGAGUAACACGUGGGCAACCUGCCCCUCUCAUUGGGAUAGCCACGGGAAACCGUGGAUAAUACCGAAUACUUCGAGUCUCCCGCAUGGAAGACUCGAGAAAGCUCCGGCGGAGAGGGAUGGGCCCGCGGCCUGUUAGCUUGUUGGUGGGGUAACGGCCUACCAAGGCAAUGAUGGGUAGCUGGGUUGAGAGACCGACCAGCCAGAUUGGGACUGAGACACGGCCCAGACUCCUACGGGAGGCAGCAGUGGGGAAUCUUGCACAAUGGGCGAAAGCCUGAUGCAGCGACGCCGCGUGCGGGAUGAAGGCCUUCGGGUUGUAAACCGCUUUCAGCAGGGACGAGGCGAAAGUGACGGUACCUGCAGAAGAAGCCCCGGCUAACUACGUGCCAGCAGCCGCGGUAAUACGUAGGGGGCAAGCGUUAUCCGGAUUCAUUGGGCGUAAAGCGCUCGUAGGCGGUCUGUUAGGUCGGGAGUUAAAUCCGGGGGCUCAACCCCCGUUCGCUCCCGAUACCGGCAGACUUGAGUUUGGUAGGGGAAGGUGGAAUUCCUAGUGUAGGGGUGGAAUGCGCAGAUAUUAGGAAGAACACCAGUGGCGAAGGCGGCCUUCUGGGCCAUAACUGACGCUGAGGAGCGAAAGCUAGGGGAGCAAACAGG